GGAUAGGUACUAUGUAAUGACAAAGAAAUCUAGUUAUAUGUGCUUCUGAUUACAACCUUUCUGCUCCUUAUUAUUCCUUGAUUAAGAGAUUCGAUCUGCUUGAUGUUUCAUUUAUAUUUGUUAUUUGUCUAUUAACUUGUAUCGGAUAAACCAUGACAGCUUAAAAACAACAUAAAGCUGAAGAAUACUGGAGAUUAAAAUAAAGGUAAAUGGAGUUGAUUCAAAAAAGAAUUUCGUACUCAACGAUAAUAAGUGGAAGAAGGAAGUAUAAAAGAAUCAAACACACCACACACAAUAAAUACUUGAACUUCGUCAUUAGUCCUCUUCUUGGAAUCCAAAUUUCUACUUGAUUUCCUUUUUUUUUUCCUAACACUAAUAAAUAUAUUUUUUUCAACUGUAGUAGUUUCUUCUUUAAAGAAGUUGGUGUGGAGUUAGGGUUGAGUUGUAUGGUUUUAACUCUGCAUAAAUCGAAAAAUGGCUCGAAGGUUUUAAUGCCUUUGUAUGGUUGCCUGCAUGUACAGAUCAAUUGCCGGAGCCAAAUUGCAACCACCAAUCUUGCCCUGCACAUUCCAGUCUCAUCCACACACUGUACUCCAUGGCUAUUGUUAUCCUAUGCUCCAACUUCAAGGUCAGUUGCUCUCCUCUCAACCUAAUUGGUUAAGUAAUAAAGCUUGAAUCUUAUUUUCUCUCUCUUUGAUGUAAUAUCGGUGUUUAUAAGGCACCGUUUGCCGUUUGGGCAUUCAGGAGUAUUAUAAGUGACGGAGAUAAGGCUUCUUUUCAUGUGGCCAAUCUGUUUGUGAGAGUUCUCAAUGAAAUACUGGAAGCCCUAGACUGCUCUAAGGCAGUCGAAGGAUAGAAUAAAUUAUUUCUAGAAUUUUAGAUGAGAGUUCUCAAUGAAAUACUAGAAGCCCUAGACUGCUCUAAGGCAGUCGAAGGACAGAAUAAAUUAUUUCUAGAAUUUUAGUGGCGGAUCAGAUUUAAGACUUCUUGAGUUUUGGAUUGACAAAGUUUCUGCUUCAAUCUUAUGUGGUGUGUAUGAUCUCCAACACUGAAUGAAUUUCAGCCUAGCACGGAAUCGCCUAGUGAAUAAUUUUGAACACAUCUGUUCUUCUACUUCAAUAUUUUGCCUCUUAAGUGCUACUACUUGUGUCUCUGCUGUUUAACCAUGACCAUGGACAAGGAUUUCUUUUUUGCAUGUCAGCAUUGUUCUUAACUGCUUUCUGAUUCCAUGAGUCUGCUACAUGUUUGUUUAUGUGAUUGUCACUUUUCUUAGACUUCUUCAUGGCUAUUCCUAAUUUCCUACUUCUGCUUUCAAGAGAAAAUUAAUUCACAUUCCUUUCUUGUGACGGGUUUUUGCAUAUAUUCUAUCAAUCGAUUGUUGCUGAUCAUAAUCACGAUCAGUUGAAAAGGACCCUUAAGUUCUAACAUCUCUACAGUUAUUUAACAAUCUAUAGGGCUGUGUUUCCUUUAUGUUUAUCUUUUAGGCAAACCAUACUUCACCUGUUGAUAAAAUUGCAGCUCACUUUAAAACAGACUUACUUAUAUGUAUCUGCCCCAGUACUUGACCACUUCUUCGUUCAUUAGAACUUGCCAGU
rnacentral:lncRNA from 1 species